AUGAAGAAGAAGCAGGUGCACGAGCAGCAGGCGAGCCUUCCCCAUGACCAUGACUGCACGGAGCAGGACCACUCGCCGUCGACCGGCAACCAAGGCCGCGACGGCAAGGCGCCGCCAUUCCCCUCCACCGAGGAAGAGUCUGAGCAGCAGCAGCCCGGGGUGGAUCUUCCUGAAGGCGCCAUCGUCGAGAUCCUGUCCAGGGUGCCCUACAGGUCGCUCUGCCGCUUCAAGUGCGUGUCCAAGCCAUGGCUGGCCCUCUGCUCAGACCCGAACGUCCGCAAGAGGUCGCCGCAGACCCUGUCGGGCUUCUUCUUCAAGGACCAUGGCCGCUUCAAUUUCCGUAAUUUGUCCGGAAAAGGCCCCCCUUUGGUCGACCCUUCGCUCCGUUUCUGGCGCGGGAUCUACGACUGCUUCUCGGUCGAGCAGUGCUGCAGCAGCCUCCUCCUUUGCAAAUGUUUGAAAUCACAUCACCAGGAAGAUGAAUGCGACUACGUCGUGUGCAAUCCUAUGACAGGGCAGUGGACCGUGCUGCCUCCUAUAGGAUGGCUGGACGAAGAGGAUGGUGCUAUGGUGUAUUUCGAACCGAUAAGGGACAUCUUCCUGGGUUUCGACGUGGCAGUCCCGUCCCGCUUUGUGGUGUUUGUGCCCCUGACCAACUGUUUCUGCGAAUUCACAGAGAUGGCCAUCUACUCGUCGGAAACCGGACGCUGGACCAAGGUGCAGAGUGAGUGGGGUUACAAAACUAUUCUGGUUGGGAAUUCAGAAUGCGUCUUCCUCAACGGCACCAUGCACUUGGCUACCCAUUAUGCUUUAGUAGUCACCGUCGACACGGAGGGGAAGGUUUGGAGGGAAAUUGAAAUGCCUGAGCACUCGCCAGACACAAAUCAGUUGGCUUCCAUUGGGAAGUCCCAAGGACGCUUGUAUGCGUGGCAAAUUGAAGACGAUCAUGAUUGCCAACUCUAUGUGUGGGUUCUUGAAGAUUGUGGUGGUGGAAAGUGGACCCUCAAGUAUACUGUUAACGUUCCAGAACUGUUUGGGAGGCAACCUGGCCAAGAUGAUAUGUCCUAUAAGGUGUUUGCGAUUCAUCCAGAUUGUGAUUUGAUUUUUCUUACAGACGAGGAGGAGAUGGCAGUAUCGUAUGAUAUGGAGAAUCAGAAAGUCAAUGCUACCUGCACUUUUUCUCAAGAAUUCGAGGAUGUUCUACCUUACGUCCCAUGUUUUGCGGAAUGGGCUUCAGAUGCUCACUGA
rnacentral:rRNA from 1 species